rnacentral:rRNA from 1 species
UACGAAGGGGGCUAGCGUUGUUCGGAAUUACUGGGCGUAAAGAGCACGUAGGCGGAUAUUUAAGUCAGGGGUGAAAUCCCAGAGCUCAACUCUGGAACUGCCUUUGAUACUGGGUAUCUCGAGUAUGGAAGAGGUGAGUGGAAUUCCGAGUGUAGAGGUGAAAUUCGUAGAUAUUCGGAGGAACACCAGUGGCGAAGGCGGCUCACUGGUCCAUUACUGACGCUGAGGUGCGAAAGCGUGGGGAGCAAACAGG